ACCACCUCCCACCCGAGCUCCCCACCCAACCCUCUGGUCCUCCCCACGCACACCCAGACUGUCUAGCCAGGCCCUCCCGUGUUCCCCGCCUUCCAGCGCUGGUCGACCAAGCCCUAGGGUGGGUCUAAGGUCACCUCUGAAACCUACCUCCUCGGGAAUCUGCAGAAAGAAAAAGCCAUUCUCCCAACAACGGCGCUCCUCUCUGAACCCCCAGUCCCCUCCUUCCCUUCAGGACGCUCCUGCGACCCUCUGCCUCGCCAGACCUCAGCUUGAUCUUGGCCUCACCUGGAACACGUGGAAGCCCACAGUGAGGCUCCAGCAGCGUCAGCCGGAACUGGGGAUUGGUCCAGAAGGUUUCUAGCAAAAGAGAAGGAGGUGGAGUUCCCUCCCAGCCUGCCUAGCCGCGACCCCAGCUUCCGUCUCGGGGCCCCAGGCCUCACCAGCACCGGGCUGGCUCCCGCCGGAGUUGAAACCUUUCACCCAGCGGCCUUGGAAGGUGUGCAUGUGCCAGCCUCCGCCAGCGGGGCUGGGGCCCAGCACCUCAGGGCUCAGUGAACAGAUCUGGACCGUGUUGAAGUGCGUGAGGAAGUCCUGAAGCUCCAUCCUGGACAGCACAGAGCGUGAGAGAUGCCCGGCCACCCCAGAGCCCAACUUGAGGGACCCCAGAAGUGGUCCCCCCCACAAAGCUCCCAGUUCCUUAAGUACUGCCAGUUAACCUCCAACCUCCAGAAACUCUGAAGCCUUGAGGCCUCGCCAAGGCAUCCAAGUCCUCACGGAUGCCCCACUUCUGAGCGUAUUUACAAACUCCUCUCGAAUAUCUUCAAAUUAACUUUAGAAAAUCCUCAAGCAGGGCCAGGAAGAUGGCCGAGCCAAUGAAAGCUGUUGCAGAAGCCUGGUGUUGUGGGACAUUAAACUGUGUAAAGGUUGUUA